GAAAUAGGUUCAUGCCAAAGACCCCUAUUACUGAAUUACUGAAAUAGAUUCAUACCAAAUACUACUAUUACAGAAUUACUGAAAUAGGUUCAUAACAACAAAGACCACUAUUACAGAAUUACUGAAAUAUGUUCAUAACAAAGUGACCUAGAACAUGUCGACUAGAAGUUAAACACUAUUUAGAAACACCAGAAAUAGCCACAUGACACAUAUGAAACAAAAAAAUCUCAAUAUUGGUUAGUGUUUCUCGUGAAAUAUUUUAUUGUUGAAUCAAAUAAAAGGUGUGGAGCAAAUUGACAACCUCAUAAAUCAAAUUCAUGUAAAUAAGAUUUUAUUCACCAGCUUGGCAUCCUGUUUUAAAGAUUUGUCAACCAUACACGACUAUAAAGAUAGAACCCUUCACAAGUAUUGUCAUUUAGUUGUUGGUCUACCAGUUAAAGAUGAGGCUGUUUCUUGUUCUAUGUUUCGUCGUAUUGGCUUGUACACUAGGGGUAGAGGGAUAUUGUUAUACUCAUACUCAUAAAAAACAUUCUGAAAGCGAUCAAGAAUAUUGUGAUCGUUUGGACACUUUGUACAACUUUAUUAAUAACGACAUAGCAACACAUUGUCAAGAUGAUGUCUAGCGUUGCCUGCAUGUGUUUCACAGGGACAUGUAACACUGAUGAGAGAAACUAUUUGGAAACUGUUGCUUGUGGAAUUUGGUAGUCUGCUGUCUAAAGGGAUUAAUCAUUGCAUCUAGUGAAACUGGAAAUCGUAUUCUUACUAAAUUAAUGUGUGAUAUUUCACCUAGAAGAAAUAAAAUAUAAGAUUUGAUUUGAUUAGUAAACUUACAAACUUCGCCUAAAAGUGACAGCUGUCGAUUACCAGAUAUCGCGACUAUAUAUCUAUACUUAUAUCCAAUAAUUCAGUUAAUAAACGCAAUGUCCUCUGUCACAAUA